rnacentral:rRNA from 1 species
AUUGAACGCUGGCGGCAGGCCUAACACAUGCAAGUCGAACGGUAACAGGAAACAGCUUGCUGUUUCGCUGACGAGUGGCGGACGGGUGAGUAAUGUCUGGGAAACUGCCUGAUGGAGGGGGAUAACUACUGGAAAGGGUAGCUAAUACCGCAUAACUCCGCAAGACAAAAGAGGGGGACCUUGGGGCCUCUGGCCAUGGGAGGUGCCCAGAUGGGAUUGGCUAGUGGGUGGGGUAACGGCUCACCUGGGCGACGAUCCCUAGCUGGUCUGAGAGGAUGACCAGCCACACUGGAACUGGGACACGGUCCAGACUCCUACGGGAGGCAGCAGUGGGGAAUAUUGCACAAUGGGCGCAAGCCUGAUGCAGCCAUGCCGCGUGUAUGAAGAAGGCCUUCGGGUUGUAAAGUACUUUCAGCGGGGAGGAAGGGAGUAAAGUUAAUACCUUUACUCAUUGACGUUACCCGCAGAAGAAGCACCGGCUAUCUCCGUG